CUAUAACCUAAUCAGCCUUAUGGAAAAUUUACCUAAACUGGGAUGUAUUAACACCUAAGAUAUACAUUCAGAUGAAAUUUUUUUAAAAGCCUGUCUUUUGAAUAUCCGGAUCCUGUCAUGGUGGUCCCUGGUGUCUAGCAAGGUCUGAGGAAACCUGUGGUGCUGAGUUCUGGGCAGGGCAGGCCCUCUGACAGUUGCAGUUUCUACUAUAUAUUUAAACAG
rnacentral:lncRNA from 1 species